rnacentral:misc_RNA from 1 species
AAUUCUCAACCUUUCCAGCUUUUGCGAGCUUGGUCAGGCUUGGAUGUGGGGGUUGCGGGCUUCCCAGAAGUCGGCUCUCCUUAAAUGCAUUAGUGAAACCUUUGUUGAUCAUCUCUUGGUGUGAUAAUUAUCUACGCCAUUGGAGUGUCAGCCUCAACUCUGUUGAGAGGUUCUGCUUCUAACUGUCCCUCUGGGGACAAUUUCUGACA